UACAGAGGGGGCAAGCGUUAUUCGGAAUUAUUGGGCGUAAAGGGCGCGUAGGCGGCUUGGCAAGUGGAAGGUGAAAUCCCUCGGCUCAACCGGGGAACUGCGUCUGAGACUGAUGAGCUCGAGUGCAGGAGAGGAACGCGGAAUUCCAGGUGUAGCGGUGAAAUGCGUAGAUAUCUGGAGGAACACCGGUGGCGAAGGCGGCGUUCUGGACUGCAACUGACACUGAGGAACGAAAGCCAGGGGAGCAAACGGG
rnacentral:rRNA from 1 species